rnacentral:rRNA from 1 species
UCUGACAAUUUUCCAAAACCCUUAUUCCCUACUGAAUGAUUCUAUAAAAUUAUAGAAAACCUUAUGCUAGAACUAGUAACAAGAAGAAGACCUUCUCCCUAAAUGUAAACAUAUGCCGGACUGAACAAAUCACCGGAACUUAUCGCUGAUGAAAAAAUUAUAGCAACUUUUCAGGAAAAAACUAUUUCACCUAGCGUUAACCUCACACAAGAACAUUUCAGGAAAGAUUAAAAAAAGAGGAAGGAACUCGGCAAACAACUAACCCCGCCUGUUUACCAAAAACAUCGCCUUGUGAUAAAAUAUACAAGGUCUAGCCUGCCCAGUGAUUUAUUUUAACGGCCGCGGUACCCUAACCGUGCAAAGGUAGCACAAUCACUUGUUCCUUAAAUAGGGACUAGUAUGAACGGCAUCACGAGGGUUAUUCUGUCUCCCCCUUUUAAUCAGUGAAACUGAUCUCCCCGUGAAGAAGCGGGGAUAUUAAUAUAAGACGAGAAGACCCCAUGGAGCUUUAAACUCAGAAACACCCGCUAUUUUCAAAUCAAAUCAAUUAGCCUCCCUGAUUUCUAGUUUUCGGUUGGGGUGACCACGGAGUACAACACAACCUCCUUGAUGAACGGAACUACUUUCCUUAUUUAAGAACUACAAUUCCAAAAAUCAAUACAUUGACAAAAAUUGAUCCAAAUCAUUUUGAUCAACGAACCAAGUUACCCUGGGGAUAACAGCGCAAUCCAUUUCAAGAGCUCUUAUCGACAAAUGGGUUUACGACCUCGAUGUUGGAUCAGGGUAUCCCAGUGGUGCAGCCGCUACUAAAGGUUC